GUCCCUGCCCCCCUCCAAUCCCUCUCCGUUCAGUUCACUUUGCUUUAUUAUAACAAGGAAAUUAGUAGCAAACACGUAAGCAUCACAAUAAAAAAAACAAUGUUGGAAAGGAAAUGUAUUUUAUUGCGAUGGUCUUCACCUGGAGUUCCCACGGUAAAUGUGUUCACGACUGAAGCACGUAACUGUCUUCCCUUAGAAAAAUUAACGUUUGAUCUGCAUGAAAUUUCAAAGGGAUUCUGGAAUUUUUGGACACCCUUCUGGAAUUCAUUACACGCUGGAAUGUGAUCGCACCUGUGAAAUUUUCUAACUCUUCAUGUAUGUGGAUGUUUUUGCAAUUCUGCAAAUGCACCGUUUCUACCUCUUUGUUGCUGUGACCCACCGCUGUUCCGUUGUUAAGAAAAAGUAACAACGGUAAACAGCAGAAGCGGAGCAGCACAGCAACCGCGAGACGUUCUCCUUCUCUGCUCCCCCCACCCUCCCGAGCUGCACGUCGGCCACCCUUCUCCCUGCAGGAGGCCACGUGGGGGCGGCCAUGCGUGACUGCACCGCGCCAUCAGCUGGGCUACGCUCGCCCGUACACGUGAGCUCAUCGCACUCCAGCGGGGAUGCUGUUUCUCCCCUAAACAGCUUGCUGGAGGACUGAAGGCUCUCCCGUCUGCAGAGGCGCAAAGCAGCCUGAAUCCACGGCCUGGAGCCCGCACGCUGGAGUGGGGUUCGAGGGGACUGGAUGGCCCUUAUCGACAAGCUGCCAGCCUUGUUCAUUUCAGCAGCCUUUCCUCCAGCCAUGAGAGCCUUGCAGAACAAGAGGAUCUUUAAGCUGUACUACCAACAUCCAUCCAUCGACAGCAACCGCUUGCCCCGAGCAACGAACCGGAGCCUAACCCGGCAACAAAGGGACGCAAGGCCGGAGGGGGAGGGGACACACCCAGGACGGGACACCAGUCCAUUGCAAGGCACCCCAACCAGGACUCGAACCCCAGACCCGCCACACAGUGGGCACUGGCUGAACCCGCUGCACCACCGUGCCGCGUACCACCAACGUUUUUCUCCAAAGUGAUGUACAUCUCAGAGAACAGUAAGAACAGUGCUUUACAUCAACAGAAGGAGCGAUUUGGAUGCAGACACGUGAUUCUAGACUACAGUCAAUUUGUCGCAUCCCACCAUAUGGACCGUUAGACAUCACACGAGGAGCUGCAUAAAAGGUUUAUCCAUUAUUCAAAAAUUAUUAAACAGUCAUACGACCUGUUUCUGCACAAUACAAACUACAGCUGUGCAUUUUCUAUUAAAAAAAAAAAAAAAGGCAAACUCUUAACAGCUGGCUGGAAACCAGCACACCUCUUCAUCAAGAAUUCAGUUACGCAAUUUAUAAUGUGAUGUUUUCAGGAAUGUACUUAUCUCAACUAUCAUUCUUGGCAAAACAAGCCUGCAAACCUAGGAUGAGCAGAAAAGAGAACGCAACAGCAGAUGGGACCUUCAAACAGGUUACUCCCAGAACAUCAGGGGUGUGUAAUUGGGGUGGGGGGGGGUCAUGAAUGACAACAUUACCAUGAGGAGACAUGUG
rnacentral:lncRNA from 1 species